rnacentral:rRNA from 1 species
CGGGGUGAGUAACGCGUGGAUAACCUGCCUCAUACAGGGGGAUAACAGUUAGAAAUGACUGCUAAUACCGCAUAAGCACCCGGGAGCGCAUGCUCCUGAGUGAAAAGCUCCGGCGGUAUGAGAUGGAUCCGCGUCUGAUUAGCUGGUUGGCGGGGUAACGGCCCACCAAGGCGACGAUCAGUAGCCGACCUGAGAGGGUGGCCGGCCACAUUGGGACUGAGACACGGCCCAAACUCCUACGGAAGGCAGCAG